UACAUGCUAAAAACCUCGACUUCGGAAGGGGUGUAUUUAUUAGAUAAAAAACCAAUGCCCUUCGGGGCUCCUUGGUGAUUCAUAAUAACUUAACGAAUCGCAUGGCCUUGUGCCGGCGAUGGUUCAUUCAAAUUUCUGCCCUAUCAACUUUCGAUGGUAGGAUAGUGGCCUACCAUGGUUUCAACGGGUAACGGGGAAUUAGGGUUCUAUUCCGGAGAGGGAGCCUGAGAAACGGCUGCCACAUCCAAGGAAGGCAGCAGGCGCGCAAAUUACCCAAUCCCGACACGGGGAGGUAGUGACAAUAAAUACUGAUACAGGGCUCUUUUGGGUCUUGUAAUUGGAAUGAGUACAAUUUAAAUCCCUUAACGAGGAACAAUUGGAGGGCAAGUCUGGUGCCAGCAGCCGCGGUAAUUCCAGCUCCAAUAGCGUAUAUUAAAGUUGUUGCAGUUAAAAAGCUCGUAGUUGAACCUUGAGCCUGGCUGGCCGGUCCGCCUCACCGCGUGCACUGGUCCGGCCGGGUUUUUCCUUCUGGGGAGCCGCAUGCCCUUCACUGGGUGUGUCGGGGAACCAGGACUUUUACUUUGAAAAAAUUAGAGUGUUCAAAGCAGGCCUAUGCUCGAAUACAUUAGCAUGGAAUAAUAGAAUAGGACGUGUGGUUCUAUUUUGUUGGUUUCUAGGACCGCCGUAAUGAUUAAUAGGGAUAGUCGGGGGCAUCAGUAUUCAAUUGUCAGAGGUGAAAUUCUUGGAUUUAUUGAAGACUAACUACUGCGAAAGCAUUUGCCAAGGAUGUUUUCAUUAAUCAGUGAACGAAAGUUAGGGGAUCGAAGACGAUCAGAUACCGUCGUAGUCUUAACCAUAAACUAUGCCGACUAGGGAUCGGGCGAUGUU
rnacentral:rRNA from 2 species